UCAACUACAUCAACAGGUUGGAGGUGCAGGCUGAUGUUCAGAAGGAGAGGUGUAGUCUCAGUGGAGAGUCAGCCACCUUCAGCUUGGGGACCAUCAGUGACAACGCUAGCACCAAAGCAAUGGCUGGAUCUAUUCUCCACUACAGAGAUGGGACCAGUAUGGAGGUGCAGGUGGACAUAGG